rnacentral:rRNA from 1 species
GAUGAACGCUGGCGGCGUGCCUAAUACAUGCAAGUCGAACGAGGUGCUUUUGUAGCAAUACGAGAGUAUCCUAGUGGCGAACGGGUGAGUAACGCGUUGGUGACCUACCCCAAAGUGUGGGAUAACAGUCCGAAAGGAUUGCUAAUACCGCAUGUGGUCUUCGGAUUUAGAAACUGAUGACUAAAGGNGCAAUUCGCUUUGGGAGGGACCUGCGUCCCAUCAGCUAGUUGGUGAGGUAAUGGCUCACUAAGGCUACGACGGGUAGGGGACCUGAGAGGGUGACCCCCCACAAUGGAACUGAAACACGGUCCAUACACCUACGGGUGGCAGCAGUAGGGAAUAUUGCACAAUGGGCGAAAGCCUGAUGCAGCAACGCCGCGUGUGCGAUGAAGGCCCUCGGGUCGUAAAGCUACUUUUCUGAGAGAUGAGCAAGGACAGUAUCUCAGGAAUAAGUCUCGGCUAACUACGUGCCAGCGCCGCGGUAAAG